rnacentral:rRNA from 1 species
UACAGAGGGUGCGAGCGUUGUCCGGAAUCACUGGGCGUAAAGGGCGCGUAGGUGGCGACCCAAGUCCAUGGUGAAAGCUCGAUGCUCAACAUCGAGUCGGCCACGGAUACUGGGUUGCUGGAGCACUGUAGAGGCAGAUGGAAUUCCGGGUGUAGCGGUGGAAUGCGUAGAGAUCCGGAAGAACACCGGUGGCGAAGGCGGUCUGCUGGGCAGUAGCUGACACUGAGGCGCGACAGCGUGGGGAGCAAACAGG